rnacentral:miRNA from 1 species
UAUAUGGUAUAAGUACAUCUCAAGUAAUAUUUGGGACCUACUUAUACCAAAC